rnacentral:rRNA from 1 species
AGUGCAUGUGGUGGAUGCCUUGGCGAUCACAGGCGAUGAAGGACGUAGUAGCUUGCGAAAAGUCGCGGGGAGCUAGCAAACGAGCUUUGAUCCGCGAAUAUCCGAAUGGGGAAACCCGGCCCGCAAGGGUCACUCCCACCUGAAUACAUAGGGUGGGUAGAGCGAACCUGGUGAACUGAAACAUCUCAGUAACCAGAGGAACAGAAAUCAACCGAGAUUCCGGCAGUAGUGGCGAGCGAACCCGGAGUAGCCAGCAGGUUUUAGCAUCAUUGUUAGCGAAGCGGUCUGGAAAGGCCGGCCAUAGAGGGUGAUAGCCCCGUACGCAAAAGCAUUGGUGUGGAACUAGGCCUGCGACAAGUAGGGCGGGGCACGUGAAAUCCUGUCUGAAGAUGGGGGGACCAUCCUCCAAGGCUAAAUACUCGUGAUCGACCGAUAGUGAACCAGUACCGUGAGGGAAAGGCGAAAAGAACCCCGGAAGGGGAGUGAAAUAGAUCCUGAAACCGCAUGCAUACAAAAAGUCGGAGCCCCUGCUUGAAUGACCUUCGGGUCUUUGUUGUUUGGCUGUAAGCCAAAUCGACGGGGGGGAGGGUUAUUCAAGCAGGGGUGACGGCGUACCUUUUGUAUAAUGGGUCAGCGACUUACAUUCAGUAGCGAGCUUAAGCGAAAGCGCAGGCGCAGGGAAACCGAGUCCGAACAGGGCGACAUAGUUGCUGGGUGUAGACCCGAAACCAGAUGAUCUACUCAUGGCCAGGAUGAAGGUGCGGUAACACGCACUGGAGGUCCGAACCCACUAAUGUUGAAAAAUUAGGGGAUGAGCUGUGGGUAGGGGUGAAAGGCUAAACAAAUCUGGAAAUAGCUGGUUCUCUCCGAAAACUAUUUAGGUAGUGCCUCACGUAUUACUGCUGGGGGUAGAGCACUGUUAUGGCUAGGGGGUCAUGGCGACUUACCAAACCAUUGCAAACUCCGAAUACUGGCAAGUAUGAGCGUGGGAGACAGUCACCGGGUGCUAACGUCCGGUGUCGAGAGGGAAACAACCCGGACCACCAGCUAAGGUCCCCAAGCACAGUUAAGUGGGAAACGAAGUGGGAAGGCGAAAACAGUCAGGAGGUUGGCUUAGAAGCAGCCACCCUUUAAAGAAAGCGUAAUAGCUCACUGAUCGAGUCGUCCUGCGCGGAAGAUGUAACGGGGCUCAAACUGUGCACCGAAGCUGUGGAUUUGUGUGUCUUUCGGGGCAUGCAGAUGGUAGGAGAGCGUUCCCUAGGCCUGUGAAGGUGCACCGAGAGGUGUGCUGGAGGUAUGGGAAGUGCGAAUGCUGACAUGAGUAGCGAUAAAGCGGGUGAAAGGCCCGCUCGCCGAAAGCCCAAGGUUUCCUGCGCAACGUUCAUCGGCGCAGGGUGAGUCGGCCCCUAAGGCGAGGCAGAAAUGCGUAGUCGAUGGGAAACAGGUUAAUAUUCCUGUACCGUUAUCUGAUGCGAUGGGGAGACGGAGAAGGUUAUGCAAGCCGGGUGUUGGAAGUCCUGGUUUAAGCGUGUAGGCGUGGCCCUUAGGCAAAUCCGGGGGUUUUAGCCGAGGCGUGAUGACGAGUCCUCCUUUGGGGGAUGAAGUUGCAGAUACCCCGCUUCCAAGAAAAUCCUCUAAGCUUCAGUCAGAUGAUGACCGUACCGCAAACCGACACAGGUGGGCGAGAUGAAUAUUCUCAGGCGCUUGAGAGAACUCAGGAGAAGGAACUCGGCAAAUUGACACCGUAACUUCGGAAGAAGGUGUGCCUUUAGUAGGUGAACCAUUUACUUGGCGAGCCCAAUGAGGUUGCAAAAAAUCGGUGGCUGCGACUGUUUAUUAAAAACACAGCACUCUGCAAACACGAAAGUGGACGUAUAGGGUGUGACGCCUGCCCGGUGCCGGAAGGUUAAAUGAUGGGGUGCAAGCUCUUGAUUGAAGCCCCGGUAAACGGCGGCCGUAACUAUAACGGUCCUAAGGUAGCGAAAUUCCUUGUCGGGUAAGUUCCGACCUGCACGAAUGGCGUAACGAUGGCCACACUGUCUCCACCCGAGACUCAGCGAAGUUGAAAUGUUUGUGAAGAUGCAAUCUACCCGCGGCUAGACGGAAAGACCCCAUGAACCUUUACUGUAGCUUUGCAUUGGACUUUGAACCAAUCUGUGUAGGAUAGGUGGGAGGCUUUGAAGCGGGGGCGCUAGCUCUCGUGGAGCCAACCUUGAAAUACCAGCCUGGUUUGUUUGCGGUUCUAACCUAGCCCCCUAUACGGGGGUGGGGACCGUGUAUGGUAGGCAGUUUGACUGGGGCGGUCUCCUCCCAAAGAGUAACGGAGGAGCUCGAAGGUACGCUAGGUACGGUCGGACAUCGUACUGAUAGUGCAAUGGCAUAAGCGUGCUUGACUGCGAGACUGACAAGUCGAGCAGGUGCGAAAGCAGGACAUAGUGAUCCGGUGGUUCUGAAUGGAAGGGCCAUCGCUCAACGGAUAAAAGGUACGCUGGGGAUAACAGGCUGAUUCCUCCCAAGAGUUCAUAUCGACGGGGGAGUUUGGCACCUCGAUGUCGGCUCAUCACAUCCUGGGGCUGUAGCCGGUCCCAAGGGUAUGGCUGUUCGCCAUUUAAAGUGGUACGUGAGCUGGGUUUAAAACGUCGUGAGACAGUUUGGUCCCUAUCUGCCGUGGGCGUUGGAAGUUUGAGGGGGGCUGCUCCUAGUACGAGAGGACCGGAGUGGACGUAUCCCUGGUGUACCGGUUGUGACGCCAGUCGCAUCGCCGGGUAGCUAUGUGCGGAAGAGAUAACCGCUGAAAGCAUCUAAGCGGGAAACUUGCCUCAAGAUGAGACUUCCCGAGGGCUUGACCCUCCUAAAGGUUCGUCCAAGACUAGGACGUUGAUAGGCUCGGUGUGGAAGGGCAGCAAUGCCUUGAGCUAACGAGUACUAAUUGACCGUGCGGCUUGAUC